rnacentral:rRNA from 1 species
AACGAACGCUGGCGGCAUGCCUAACACAUGCAAGUAGAACGAGACCUUCGGGUCUAGUGGCGCACGGGUGCGUAACGCGUGGGAACCUGCCCUUAGGUUCGGAAUAACUCCCCGAAAGGGGUGCUAAUACCGGAUAAUGUCUUCGGACCAAAGAUUUAUCGCCUUUGGAUGGGCCCGCGUUGGAUUAGCUAGUUGGUAGGGUAACAGCCUACCAAGGCGACGAUCCAUAGCUGGUCUGAGAGGAUGAUCAGCCACACUGGGACUGAGACACGGCCCAGACUCCUACGGGAGGCAGCAGUGGGGAAUAUUGGACAAUGGGCGAAAGCCUGAUCCAGCAAUGCCGCGUGAGUGAUGAAGGCCUUAGGGUUGUAAAGCUCUUUUACCCGGGAUGAUAAUGACAGUACCGGGAGAAUAAGCUCCGGCUAACUCCGUG